UUUAUUGGUGUCAUUUAUUAUUCCAUUCACAGGUGGCUGUAAGUAGGGAUAAUUCAUUCCCUUACUCUAUUUCCUGACUUUGGACCUCCAAGAGGUUCCCUGGAAUAAGAUUGUGUUUCUAGACAACUACAGUCUUGAGAAAUCUAUGGCUGA
rnacentral:lncRNA from 1 species